rnacentral:rRNA from 1 species
UACGUAGGGUGCAAGCGUUAUCCGGAAUUACUGGGCGUAAAGGGUGAGUAGGCGGUUAAUUAAGUCAUAUGUGAAAAUCCAGGGCUCAACUCUGGACUUGCAUAAGAAACUGGUAAACUGGAGUGCAGGAGAGGUAAGUGGAAUUCCUAGUGUAGCGGUGAAAUGCGUAGAGAUUAGGAAGAACACCAGUGGCGAAGGCGACUUACUGGACUGUAACUGACGCUGAGUCACGAAAGCGUGGGGAGCGAACAGG